AUUUAAAUAGUUUAUUAAUUGUAAAACAUUAAUCUGUGAAAUUAAAGAAAACUAAGAAUUUUUAAAUU
rnacentral:tRNA from 1 species